rnacentral:rRNA from 1 species
UACGGAGGGGGCUAGCGUUGUUCGGAAUGACUGGGCGUAAAGCGCGCGUAGGCGGAUCAGAAAGUUGGGGGUGAAAUCCCGGGGCUCAACCUCGGAAUGGCCUUCAAAACUCCUGGUCUUGAGUUCGAGAGAGGUGAGUGGAAUUCCGAGUGUAGAGUUGAAAUUCGUAGAUAUUCGGAGGAACACCAGUGGCGAAGGCGGCUCACUGGCUCGACACUGACGCUGAGGUGCGAAAGCGUGGGGAGCAAACAGG